CAGCCGCCGCGGUAACACGAAGGGUGCAAGCGUUAAUCGGAAUUACUGGGCGUAAAGCGUGCGUAGGCGGUGAGUUAAGUCUGCUGUGAAAUCCCCGGGCUCAACCUGGGAAUGGCAGUGGAUACUGGCUCGCUAGAGUGUGUCAGAGGAUGGUGGAAUUCCCGGCGUAGCGGUGAAAUGCGUAGAGAUCGGGAGGAACAUCAGUGGCGAAGGCGGCCAUCUGGGACAACACUGACGCUGAGGCACGAAAGCGUGGGGAGCAAACAGGAUUAGAUACCCCCGUAGUCCCUGUCUCUUAUAA
rnacentral:rRNA from 1 species